rnacentral:rRNA from 1 species
GACGAACGCUGGCGGCGUGCUUAACACAUGCAAGUCGAACGAUGAAGCCGGAGCUUGCUCCGGUGGAUUAGUGGCGAACGGGUGAGUAACACGUGAGCAAUCUGCCCUUGACUCUGGGAUAACUGCGGGAAACUGUAGCUAAUACCGGAUACGACACCUUGGGGCAUCCCAGGGUGUGGAAAGAAUUUCGGUCAAGGAUGAGCUCGCGGCCUAUCAGCUAGUUGGUGAGGUAAUGGCUCACCAAGGCGACGACGGGUAGCCGGCCUGAGAGGGGGACCGGCCACACUGGAACUGGGACACGGUCCGGACUCCUACGGGAGGAAGCAGUGGGGAAUAUUGCACAAUGGGCGAAAGCCUGAUGCAGCAACGCCGCGGGAGGGAUGAAGGCCUUCGGGUUGUAAACCUCUUUAGCAGGGAAGAAGCGAAAGUGACGGUACCUGCAGAAAAAGCACCGGCUAACUACGUGCCAGCCGCCGCCGUAA